rnacentral:rRNA from 1 species
AGCGAACGCUGGCGGCAGGCUUAACACAUGCAAGUCAAACGCCCCGCAAGGGGAGUGGCAGACGGGUGAGUAACACGUGGGAACGUACCCUUUGGUUCGGAAUAACUUGGGGAAACUCAAGCUAAUACCGGAUAAGCCCUUAUGGGGAAAGGUUUACUGCCGAAGGAUCGGCCCGCGCCUGAUUAGCUAGUUGGUGAGGUAAUGGCUCACCAAGGCGACGAUCAGUAGCUGGUCUGAGAGGAUGAUCAGCCACACUGGGACUGAGACACGGCCAGACUCCUACGGGAGGCAGCAGUGGGGAAUAUUGGACAAUGGGGGCAACCCUGAUCCAGCCAUGCCGCGUGAGUGAUGAAGGCCUUAGGGUUGUAAAGCUCUUUUUCCCGGGACGAUAAUGACUGUACCGGGAGAAUAAGCCCCGGCUAACUUCGUGCCAGCCGCCGCGGUAA